UUGCUAAGAGCAGAAUUCAUCUCCACUCAUCCAGUAGUGCACGUCAACAGAAUAUGUAAUGGGAUGUAAUUGGUUCAAAAGUCGUCUUCUUCGACUUCAUAUUUCAACAAUGUUUGUAAUUCUAAUUUCGAGGAAAAGAUUAGGAUUUCAACAGAGAAUAACUGGAAACAUGUUGUUGUUGUUUUUUGACGAUAUUGUGAGAACAGUGGAAACGUUUAAAAAAACAACUUUUGAAUAAUUGACGAUAACGACGAGAAUUAACAACUGUAUUAUUUUUCUUUGUUCUGUUAAUACGUUUGGCAUUGCAAGUUUAUUAGCUACUGGCAGUAUAAAAUAAAUGAAAACUUAGAUACA